ACAGGUGGCAGCUCUCGUCCCCUGAGAGCGGGCGAAGGCCAGGGUCCCACACUCGCAGCGCUGCGACGGCGCUCGGGACCUCCCUCGUCCACUGCUUGAGUUCCAGAGGUGGGUGCUUCCCUGUCCUGAACUUCAGAGUGCGGAGUCAUAAAUGGGUUCCGGCUGGCUUACUGCAGUAGCCUCGCUCCUCCCCAGCCCCGGUAACUCCGAGCUACCCGUCCAGGCCCUCGGGCGUCGCGGGGGCAGGGACUGGGCGCGGAACGAGGCAGGGAGGGACCUGGAAAAACCACCCAGAUUGCAUUGCAGUGGGCGAGGCCGCCUGGAGGAGCCGGUUCCCCCUAACCACCUCCCCGUGGGGCUCUCGGUGCGCGGUUCCCAGGUGCUCAGCUCUGCUGGGCCCAGGAGGUGCCGCCUCACAGGGACGCGGAACCCCGUGCGUGGCCCCCGCCGGGUGGAACAGAUAGCGCGGGGCGGUCCGGAGGCUCGUCGCCAAGCAGGUGACUCUUGCUGAAAAAGUGGUUGGAACACUUGAGGAAACCCGGCCCCGCCUGUUCUUUCUAGGUCUUUGGAGUUUGGAUUAAUCAUUUGUGUAGCCCGUUUGGAUAAACCGAAGACUUUAUUAAAUCAGCGCGUUUAACAGGAAUUCCGCAGUAGUAUCCACAUUAGAAUCUUGAGUCUUGGAGUUGAACAUAUUCACACAGACUUGCCUUCUUCCUGUUUAGUUUAUGCCUUGUGUUCCGUUAUUGGAACGCUAAGCUUGUGGGAGUUGUUUACAUCCUACUGCUCAAGGUCAUCGCUAAGGUGUGAUUUUUCACAAAAAGAAUUUGCAACCUCCGGCAUGAAUGACUUAAGGGAAGUCUAAUCCCGGUUUCUGAUUUUUUUUUUUUUUUUAAUUUAAAAGUUAAUCUUUCUGGGCCGGGCGCGGUGGCUCACGCCUGUAAUCCCAGCACUUUGGGAGGCCGAGGCGGAUCACGAGGUCAGGAGUUCGAGACCAGCCUGACCAACAUGGUGAAACCCCGUCUCUACUAAAAACACAAAAAUUAGCCGGGCGGGGUGGCGCGCACCUGUAAUCCCAGCUGCUCGGGAGGCUGAGGCAGGAGAAUCGCUUGAACCUGGGAGGCGGGGGGUUGCAGUGAGCCGAGAUCUGGCCAUUGCACUCCAGCGUGGGCAACAGAGUGAGACUCCAUCUCAAAAAAAAAGGUUAAUCUUUCCAACUAGAUUUUCAAGGAUGAGGAUUUUGUUGUUGUUGUUGUUGUUGUUCUCAAAUGUAUUCCCAGGGCUUGGAACAGAGCCUGACAUAUACUAGGCACUCAACAAAUAUUUGUUGAAUGAUUGUAAUGAGUAACACCCAUUUUUGCAGAUCUUUGUCUUCUGAGCCUAGGGCAUAGGUCAUCACUGCAGGGGUGAGAUUGUCAAAAUGGGAGUCUACAGGUAAUUUAAGACUUAAAUGUUUAAAGAGUAUGUGCUCAUUCUUCAACAAACUUACUUUUGUUAAAUUAAAAUGGUAAAAUGUGGUGGAGGGGUUGGAAUAUAUGUAAUUCAAGACAGUUCUGAAUACAAAAAUGUUUUACUGUCUAUCACCACCAUCUAUAAAUCUAAUUCACUAAGGAUAAUCUGUGUAAGGUGGCUGGAAAGAACCUUGAGGAGAGAGGCUUAUUUAAGUAUUGGCUCAGGACCACACCUAAAAUUCUCAAAACGUUGAGAUUCUGUUGUUUUGUUUUUAAGCGCCAGAGACCCAAGUUGAGGAACAGCCUAUAAAAUAACUGGCCUGUACUCUUACAUACAUGAAAGCCAUCAAAGACAAAGACUGAAGAAGAACUUUUGCAGAUUAAAGGACUUUAAGAGACAUGAUCCUGAACCAGAAAAAGUAAAAAAUAAAAAAAUAAAAAGAUCUGUAGAUUAGAUAAUAGUUUUAUAUCCAUGUUAAUUUCCCAUUUGUUGUAAUAUUACUGUGGUUGGGCAAGAGAGUGUCUUUGUUGGUGGAAGUAUCUACUGAAGUAUUUAGGGGUAAAGAGGAAUCAUGUCUGUAACUUAUGCUCAAAAGGUUCAGACAAAAUAUAUGUAAAGGGAAUGAUAAAGCAAACGCAAUAAAAUGUUAACAUUGGGGAAUCUGUAUAAGGGAAUUAUUAACUUUUCUGUAAGUCUAAAAUUAUUUCAAAUUAAAAAUAAUUUUUUUAAGCCUC
ensembl:lncRNA LINC02894 long intergenic non-protein coding RNA 2894